UACGUAGGGGGCAAGCGUUGUCCGGAAUCAUUGGGCGUAAAGAGCGUGUAGGCGGCCCGGUAAGUCUGUUGUGAAAGUCCGGGGCUCAACCCUGGAAAGCCGAUGGAUACUGCCGGGCUAGAGUUCGGAAGAGGCGAGUGGAAUUCCUGGUGUAGCGGUGGAAUGCGCAGAUAUCAGGAGGAACACCAAUGGCGAAGGCAGCUCGCUGGGACGGUACUGACGCUGAGACGCGAAAGCGUGGGGAGCAAACAGG
rnacentral:rRNA from 1 species